GUUCUGGCUUGCCACCAGACUUCCACUGGCUGAGAGAGGUAAUAGUGCCUUGUUACUAUUCCCCACUUUGCUUCUACUAGUAGCACUAGAAGAAGAGUAGACGCUUUAUACUUGGCAGUGGUAAAAGUCCUGUCCACUAGAAUCCCUUGAACACCACCCCAGUGAGGAGAAGACGGGAUACUUUAUUACUUCCGGUGGGAAGAAGUGCAGAUUCCCUGCAUGGUCUCUACUGAAACGAGUGUGGAACAGAGGUGAAAAGAAGCUUGGUAAAAAAAAAAAUAUGGCCUCAAAACAGGUGUAAUGCAUCAACUGAGUUAGGAAUGUCAGCAGAGCAACCCACAGAAAUUCACGUUUCAAGGCAUUGCUUAGUUCCAUCUGAAAAACAUAUGGUCUUUGGAGUCUGAAAGGACAGGUAAAAUUCCAGCUGCUCUCUUUAAUGCCAUUUUUGGUCCACACAGAGAAAAGGCCAUGUGAGGACACAGCUAGAAGGCAGCCAUCUGAGAGCCAAGCAGACAGGUCUCAUCAGAUGCCAGCCCUGCCAGCACCUUUAUCUUGGACUUCCACUCUCCUAAGUUGUCAGAAAAUAAAUUUAUGUUGUUUAAGCCAACAUUCUAUUCCAUUUACUCUGUUAUAGCAACCUGAGCAGUCAUACCCUCUCUCUCCUCCUUAUUCCACUUAGCAUCCAUAGUGAGUAAUAAUAAUCAUUUAAUGGUAACUCUUCAACUUCCUUGCCCCUUGCAUCCUUCAUUUUACUUGAUGGGUCAACUUUAUCUUUCCACAUGACCCACUUAAUCUAUCUUUCCACCUGUUGCUUACCUACAAAAUGAACAUGGCUAGAGAAGAAGUCACACACCAUGCUGACUUUCAAUUCAUGAACAUAAAUAUCAAGUGAGCUCAUGGAGUCACCCAAAAUUUGAGUUUCCUUCGAUCAUUCAUUCUUCUACUCCUUUUAAUAUUAUAUAUCUUUCUGAUUAAAACUCAAGCAUCUCCCCUUCACUUUCCAUAUCUGCUGAUGCUUUUGCUUUCUAAACUACUAAGUGAUCAGAAUCAAAUAGAAAAGGGUCUUCAUAGGCCCAGUGCGGUGGCUCACGCCUGUAAUGCCAGCACUUCAGAAAGCUGAGGCGGGCAGAUCAUGAGGUCAGGAGAUCGAGAGCAUCCUGGCUAACAGGUUGAAACCCUGUAUCUACUAAAAAUACAAAAAAUUAGCCAGGCGUGGUGGCGGGUGCCUGUAGUCCCAGCUACUCAGGAGGCUGAGGCAGGAGAAUGGCAUGAACCUGGGAGGUGGAGCUUGCAGUGAGCUGAGAUCGCCCCACUGCCCUCCAGCCUGGGCGACAGAGCAAGACUCCGUCUCAAAAAAAAAAAAAAAAAAUAGGGUCUUCAUAAGCUUCCAUCAUUACUUGCACUCAUUUAACAUAUUCUGUUCUGUACCAACAAAUGCUGCCUUCCUCUUGAAACUAUAAACUGUUCAUGUAGUUCACUAAGAUGCUUAAUUUCAUCUUCUCUCACACACUCAGGACACCUCCUUAACAACUCUCUUAUUUUCAACAUUAUCCACUCUAUCCUGUGCUACUCCCCUCAGCACACACCUAUGCUGUUAUUACCUCCUUCUCAAAAAAUUUCUCUGGACUUUACUUACACCUCCAGCUACGAUCUAAUUUUUAUGUAAUCUAUGAAUAAUUUCGUAGUAAUAUAUAUAAUUCACAUAUACUUAGAAAAAUACCUAGAAAAUCAUUUGACUAAACUUUGAAAAGUAGCCAUCUCAGAGUAAUGGAUUAUCAUAUAAUCUAUUUCUCAAUCAUACUUUCUGUAAGCCUUGAUAACUGCCAUGCAUACAUAUUCAGUUAUGAGUGCACAUAAUUAUAUAACUAUAUAAAAUAUGAAUCAGAUAAUUCAAUAAUUAAAUAGAAUUAUUGCAUAUAAUUAAAAUGCAAAAUAAAGAUAAAAGUACGACCAUGUUUGUGGCAUUGUAGAUGGCACAUCUGCCUUGAAAAGCAAUGUGGCAAUCUCUAGCAGAAUUACAAGUGUACAUUCCUAGAAAUCCAACAAUUUCAUUUUUUAAAAUACACUUCAGAGGAAAAAGGAUACCUAUGUAAGGAUUUACAUGGGAGAAAUAAUUGUAAUCAUGGACAAUUUGAAAUAACCUAAAUAUGUGAGUAGAAUGCUUAAAAUGUUGGUAUUGGUUCCAGAUCCACAUAGGAGAUAUUGAAAAUAAUGUUAUAUAAAAAUAGAAAGAGAGGAUAAUACAUAGAACACGUUGCUGUGCAGUGUUUAAGAACACAUAUAAGAUAAUCUUAUAGUAAAUAGGAUGGAAGGAUUCUCAUAAAAGUCAGAUAGUUGUUGCCCCUGGAGAGUUUGAAUAGGAAUAUUACUGAGGGUAUUCAUCAAAGGGGACUUAGCUAAAUCUCUAAAGUUUUAUUUUAUUUUUGAAAGAAAAUGAGAAGCAAAUAAGACAAGAUAUUAGCAGUAGAUAUUCUAGGUGAUGAAAACAUGUUUAUAUUGUAUCUAAAAGUAUAUGUGUGUAUAUAUCCCUGUGUAUGUGUGUGUGUGUGUGUGUGUGUGUGUGUAUCCAUUUCUAUAAUUUAAAUUCUUUUAAAGGAAAAAGAAUUUUAAAAAGAGGAAGAAAAACAGAUACACUAAGGUGAAAGUACAUGGUCCAUAGAAAUUUGACUGCUAAUAAUCUUGACAGAUCUCAUUUACAGAUGCAGAGAUGAGAAUUCUUUCCAUUUAAUGGCUUUGCAACAUUACAUAUUAUUUCUUAAAAGAUAUGUGCAGGAAGGAUUAUUUUUAUGCAAUUAAGAUGGUGAAAAAUUAAGGUGCUGACAACUCCAAGAAUAAGAACUAUUCUGUGGGGAAGAAGGCUGAGCAAAAUGUUCAGAGAGAAGCUUCUAGUGAUCAUUCCCCACACUUCAGGAACACCACAUUGAGCAAUUGUCUAUUCAAAAAAGCACCUUUAUAAGUUCCAAAAACCAGGUGAGAAAUCACAGUACCUGGUUUUAAUAUUACAUCAAGGAAAGAAGCACUGCAGAGGACAGAAAAGACAGUCUUGAAUUGACAAUAUUUUUCAUGUGGAGUUGAAUUUAGUUUGACAGUAUUUUGUUGAGGAUUUUUACAUUUAUGUUCAUCAGUGAUUGCAUCUCCUAUUUUAAGUGAUACAAAUGGUUACGGAUUGUGUUCUUAAUUACACAGCUUUAUUUGGUUUUGAAUGUUCACAUCAAUCUUUGUUACUAGAAGUCCAGUAACUUCAUAAAUGUUACUACACACAAUUUGUGAUUUUCCCUGUCUAAACACUUUAGUAACACACAUCUUAUGAUUCCAAGCAGUAAUCUUGUCUUAAAGUGUUUACUUGCCUUCUUAUUUCUCAAAAACAAGCUAGAAACAGCUGCCUGUAGCAUAAUUCAAUUAACCAAAAUGCAGAAAUAAUCAGCCUUAUUCACAGCAAAAGUGAACCUUUAUGGAGCCCUGCCUUGAAAAAAAUCUGACUGUAAUCUAUACAACCAAGACCUGCAUAUUAUAAGCAGUGAAGAUCUAUGAGAUUAGGGGGGAAUAUGUUUUUCAACUGUCUUGUUUUUAAGGAUGCAUGUAAAUUUAGCAUAUUUAUUUAUCUGAACACUUAAUCAAAAGAUAUAAGAAAUGUAUCUUGGAGAAUAUUUGGAAUAUUAGAAAACAUGUGGACACAGAUUUUUAGCUUUCUUUCUAUACUCAAAUAUGGUCUGCUAAUAUGAUGAUGUCAACAUGAUUAGAAGUAUUGCUGGUAAAUAAUUGUUAAACUGCACUCUUUACAAGAUGCUGAAGAUUGCUUUUCUGAUAUUUUUUGUCUAAUUCCAUGCCAAGGAUUAUUAUACGCACAAACAUAAUUAAUAUAUAAAUACCUCAUGCACCCUGACAAUGUGUGCUACAGAUAACCAGCAAUACUGGCUCUUAACACUUGCGAUCUCACUAAAACAAAGUGGAAAGCUAACUUUAUACAGUAAACCUAUAUAUACUAUAAUAAAACUUUAUUCAAUCC
rnacentral:lncRNA from 10 species